GGAAAGUCCCCGUGCCUUGGUGCAGAGAGUGUGAGUGGGAG
rnacentral:RNase_MRP_RNA from 14 species